UACAGAGGUCUCAAGCGUUGUUCGGAUUCAUUGGGCGUAAAGGGUGCGUAGGCGGCGCGGUAAGUCGGGUGUGAAAUCUCGGAGCUUAACUCCGAAACUGCAUUCGAUACUGCCGUGCUUGAGGACUGGAGAGGAGACUGGAAUUUACGGUGUAGCGGUGAAAUGCGUAGAUAUCGUAAGGAAGACCAGUGGCGAAGGCGGGUCUCUGGACAGUUCCUGACACUGAAGCACGAAGGCCAGGGGAGCAAACGGG
rnacentral:rRNA from 1 species